UCCAUCUCAAUCAUCGCCAUCCUCCGACACUUUCCUCCAGUUUUAGAGCUUGAGAUAACCGCUUUAGGUUGCCAGAACUGGCGCCAUAAAAUUCAACAGCGGCUUCCCUGAAAUCUGCCGAACGGUUACGGCAUCAGGCAAAUCACAUAAUUAUUGGGGAAAAAAAAUGGGGUAAUUUGAGGAGUUUAUACUUGGUAUUGG
rnacentral:misc_RNA from 1 species